AAUGAUACUUCCAUGAAAGUGGCCCACGAGGAGAGGGGAGAAUGCACACCCACGUUUGAGAAAGAAUGUGGGGCGGCUUCU
rnacentral:sRNA from 1 species